AGUUUGUUCACCUGACAUGCAAUUUAUUUAUGUGUUACCUGGAUGGGAGAGCUCAGCACAUGAUGGUUGUGUCCUUUGAGAUGCUAUUUCUAUUGUAAUUAUAGUGUGUUAUUUUUCUAGACUUGUGAUAACUUUUCAAUGUAUCAAUCAGAAUUAUUGUCAUUUUACUAUUAUCAUUUUGCUAAUAUUUAUCUAACAUAAGUGCAUAUAUGUAUGUAUAUUUAUUUUAUCAUUUUUUAUAUGAUGGAUUUUGUUAAA
rnacentral:misc_RNA from 1 species